rnacentral:pre_miRNA from 1 species
UUAGAUUAUAUGACAAUGAGAGAGAGCACGCAUGUACACAGUCAUGAAAUUUCUUGCAUGAAUGCCAACAAGCUAAGCGUGCUCUCUCUCAUCGUCAAACAAUAUAUAG